GACGAACGCUGGCGGCGUGCCUAAUACAUGCAAGUUGAGCGCUGAAGGUUGGUACUUGUACCAACUGGAUGAGCAGCGAACGGGUGAGUAACGCGUGGGUAAUCUGCCUUUGAGCGGGGGACAACAUUUGGAAACGAAUGCUAAUACCGCAUAAAAACUUUAAACACAAGUUUUAAUUUUGAAAGAUGCAAUUGCAUCACUCAAAGAUGAUCCCGCGUUGUAUUAGCUAGUUGGUGAGGUAAAGGCUCACCAAGGCAAUGAUACAUAGCCGACCUGAGAGGGUGAUCGGCCAAAUUGGGACUGAGAAACGGCCCAAACUUCUACGGGAGGCAGCAGUAGGGGAUUUUCGGGAAUGGACGAAAGUCUGAACGAGCAAAGCCGCGUGAGUGAAGAAGGUUUUCGGAUCGUAAAACUCUGUUGGUAGAGAAGAAAGUUGGUGAGAGUGGAAAGCUCAUCAAGUGACGGUAACUACCCAGAAAGGGACGGCUAACUACGUG
rnacentral:rRNA from 1 species